GAAAGUCGAGGAGAAAUCCGACUAGGGCUGAGGAGAAUCCAGCCAGACUGAAGAGAAAUCCAGUCUCUGGUGGUAAAGCUCCUUGCAAACCAAAAUUUCUUAAAUCUGUCUAUCUAUUUCUUUGGGUUUUUGGGAUUUUUACUUCUCUGGCUUUGAGUUUGUUUGUCUGAUCAUUGAACUCUUGGAAUCACUGAGAAAACACUUGAGAAAUCAUUGAGAGAAACACUUGAGAGAAACACUAAGUGAGGCUUCGGCUAUAUCUAUUGUGUACUUACUUUUCUUGUUGAAGUCUUAUCAGGAAAC
rnacentral:lncRNA from 1 species